rnacentral:rRNA from 1 species
ACCCCGGGAGGGGAGUGAAAGAGAACCUGAAACCCUGUGUUUACAAGCUGUGGAAGUUCUUUAAAUGAACAACCGCGUACUUUUUGUAGAACGGUCCGGCGAGUUGCGGAUACUGGCAAGGUUAAGCACUUAAGGUGCGGAGCCGAAGGGAUACCAAGUCUUAACAGGGCGUUAAGUCAGUAUACGCAGACCCGAAACCGGGUGAUCUAUCCAUGUCCAGGUUGAAGUUGUCGUAAAAGACAAUGGAGGACCGAAGCCACAUCCGUUGAAAAGGGUGGGCAUGAGGUGUGGAUAGGGGAGAAAUUCCAAUCGAACCCGGAGAUAGCUGGUUCUCCUCGAAAUAGCUUUAGGGCUAGCCUCAUGGAUCAUUGGUGGGGGUAGAGCACUGAAUGUGCGCGGGGGCCACAAAGCCUACCAAACGCUAUCAAACUACGAAUACCAUACAAUGCAGACCAUGGGAGUCAGUCCGCGAGAGAUAAGUUCCGCGGGCAAAAGGGGAACACCCCAGAUCAACCGCUAAGGUCCCCAAGUUCACGUUAAGUGGAGAAGGAUGUGGAAUUGCACAGACAACCAGGAUGUUGGCUCAGAAGCAGCCACACAUUUAAAGAGUGCGUAAUAGCUCACUGGUCGAGUGAUUGUGCGCCGAAGAUGUCCGGGGCUAAACGUGACACCGAAGCGAUGGGUGCAUCUGAAAGGAUGCGCGGUAGAGGAGCAAUGUGCAGAGGCAGAAGCCGUAUCGAGAGGCACGGUGGACACUGCACAAGAGAGAAUGCCGGUAUGAGUAGCGAGAGGCAUGCGAGAAACAUGCCCGUCGAAAGCCCAAGGUUUCCUGGGGAAGGUUCAUCCGCCCAGGGUAAGUCGGGGCCUAAGCCGAGGACGGAAGUCGUAGGCGAUGGACAGCAGGUGUAGAUUCCUGCACUACCGAUGGAAUGAAGCAGUGACACAGAAGGAUAACUCGAGCAGGGUGAUGGUCAACCCUGUGCAAGCAUCAAGGUUGGGUUGUAGUGAAGUACGCAAUCCUAUAAGCUGAGGUGUGAUGCGGACCGAAAUUUCAGUAGGGAAGCGAGUGAGUUCACGCUGGCGAGAAAAGCUGCUAGUACAUCCAAAGGUACCCGUACCGGAAACCGACGCAGGUGGGCGAGGAGAGAAUCCUGAGACGAACGGGAGAACCCUUGUUAAGGAACUCGGCAAAAUGACCCCGUAACUUCGGGAUAAGGGGUGCCUGCGAGAGCAGGCCGCAGAGAAUAGUCACAAGCGACUGUUUAGCAAAAACACAGGUAUCUGCGAAAGCGAGAGCUGACGUAUAGGUGCUGACACCUGCCCGGUGCUGGAAGGUUAAGGGAACAUGUUAGAGCAAUCGAAGCAUCGAACCGAAGCCCCAGUAAACGGCGGCCGUAACUAUAACGGUCCUAAGGUAGCGAAAUUCCUUGUCGGGUAAGUUCCGACCCGCACGAAUGGUGUAACGACUUGUGAGCUGUCUCAACAGGGGGCCCGGUGAAAUUGAAGUAUGGGUGAAGAUGCCCAUUACCCGCGACUGGACGGAGAGACCCCGUAGAGCUUUACUGCAGCCUGAUAUUGAGUUUCGGUAACUGAUGCACAGGAUAGGUGGGAGUCUGAGAGACAUGGGUUUCGGCUCAUGUGGAGACGGUGUUGGGAUACCACUCUUCGGUUACUGAAAUUCUAACAUAGCUCUGUGAAACCAGAGGAUGGACAGUGUCAGGUGGACAGUUUGACUGGGGCGGUCGCCUCCGAAAGAGUAACGGAGGCGCCCAAAGGUACCCUCAGAAUGGAUGGAAACCAUUCGAAGAGCGCAAAGGCAGAAGGGUGCCUGACUGCGAGAUUGACAAAUCGAGCAGAGACGAAAGUCGGGCUUAGUGAUCCGGCGGUAUUGAGUGGAAAAGCCGUCGCUUAACGGAUAAAAGCUACCUCGGGGAUAACAGGCUGAUCUCCCCCAAGAGUCCACAUCGACGGGGAGGUUUGGCAC